GCAGAGCUACGAUCGUAGCAGGCACUGCAGGGCAACAGUAUGUGGAUAACAUCUUUUUCAACCCGGACAAUGAUUAUGAAAUGAUUACCGUCAACAGAUCUAUAUUUGAGUUACAAUUCAACAGUACUCAGGAAUUAUGGAAAACCAAGAUCGAUGCCGCC